UUUGAUUAAAAAAAAAAGAAAAAUGAAAACAGUUUUUUUUAAAAGCUUAGAAAAGCUAGAGUCUGCUGCCACAAAAAGGGAAUUUCGAGAUUUGUUAGAUGUUCCAGAAAAUUAUGGGCUUUUGGUAUGUUAUAGUAAACUGAAUAAGCUUUCCAUAGACUCCGGAACGGAUUAAUUCCGACUUCGGAGCAAAGAGUUAUGACCGUUCAAAGUAGUCGCGUCAAAACUGUCAAACUAACUCGGGUCAGUCACUUUACACGGAAUUUCUGGAAUUCUUUGUUUAGAAUUUGAAG
rnacentral:lncRNA from 1 species